GUGAGAUGUUGCCCAUUGGCAUAAACCCGUAGAUCCGAUCUUGUGGUGAAAUGGACUGCGCAAGCUCGCUUCUAUGGGUCUGUGUCAGUGUGGUAAUCUAAC
rnacentral:miRNA from 1 species